ACAACUCCAGCCACUACCUUCAAAGCAAUCGACAGAGAUGUUCAAAACUUGAUCACAGCACGAAGACAUAAGUGAAUGUUUGCUACACCUGUGUCAUUAUGGAUCCGGUGAUACUGUUGAAUCCUAAAUCCGGUAAUAGAGUUUAGAAUACAGUAGUUGGUGGUUAAAGGAGAUUAAAAGGACCCAAGGUUUUGUUUAUUGAAGUGUAAGCAAAAAGCCGAACAGCGAAUACAAAGGAAGAACUCCUCGUCCUAAAGACAAACUCGUUGCUAAGUGAUUUCUCUCUAUAUUCUAGCUCUAGUCUUUCUCCGUAUUAUUUUCUCUUUCUUUUCUUCAUUGAAUGCACUCUUCUUUUAUAGGCGUUCAUUACGUGGAAGAGUUGUUGGUUUGUCAUCACUGUCUUCUGACUCGUUACAGUGAUUGGCGGAGUUGUUAGCAGUUAGGUUCAACGCCGUAGCAGGGGCUUCGACCUAUUCCUCCUUCUGACACUCGAUAGCGUAUGUCAGGUCGUCCUGACGAGUUGGUGAACCAGAUCACGCUUUCUUCCAGGGCUAUUCAUGAAUUGGCUUCGUCUUUGCGAUUGGGCUGAGUGAACUCCUGGGCCGUGAUGCUAGUGGGGGUCCAUAUCCAACAGAUACUAUCACUUGACCCUUUCUCUGUGUUCUCCUUGUUUUUCUCUUUUUGCCAAACAUUACAUAAUUAUGUAUUCACAUUUAAGCAACAAUUUUUUUUUUUUUUGUAAAUUCACGGAAAACAUAUGUUUGAUUGUUUGUUAGAUGAGUUAGGAGAAGCUGAGAUAUUAUGG
rnacentral:lncRNA from 1 species